rnacentral:rRNA from 1 species
CGACCGGCGCACGGGUGAGUAACACGUAUCCAACCUGCCGUCUACUCUUGGACAGCCUUCUGAAAGGAAGAUUAAUACAAGAUGGCAUCAUGAGUCCGCAUGUUCACAUGAUUAAAGGUAUUCCGGUAGACGAUGGGGAUGCGUUCCAUUAGAUAGUAGGCGGGGUAACGGCCCACCUAGUCUUCGAUGGAUAGGGGUUCUGAGAGGAAGGUCCCCCACAUUGGAACUGAGACACGGUCCAAACUCCUACGGAGGCAGCAUG